rnacentral:rRNA from 1 species
UACGUAGGGUCCGAGCGUUGUCCGGAAUUAUUGGGCGUAAAGAGCUCGUAGGCGGUUUGUCGCGUCUGCUGUGAAAUCCCGAGGCUCAACCUCGGGCCUGCAGUGGGUACGGGCAGACUGGAGUGCGGUAGGGGAGAAUGGAAUUCCUGGUGUAGCGGUGGAAUGCGCAGAUAUCAGGAGGAACACCGAUGGCGAAGGCAGUUCUCUGGGCAUGUCCUGACGCUGAGGAGCGAAAGUGUGGGGAGCGAACAGG